AUUGAACGCUGGCGGCAUGCCUAACACAUGCAAGUCGAGCGGUUGAAUCCUGCUUGCUCCUGGCUUCAGCUGCGGACGGGUGAUGAAGGCCUAGUAAUCUGCCUGUUAGUAAGGUAUAACGUCCGGAGACGGGCGCUAAUACCACAUACGCUCUUACCGAGUAAGAGUUUGUUCUUCGUACCUCACGCGAUCAGAGCAGCCUAGGGCGGAUUAGCUAGUUGGUGGGGUAAUGGCCUACCAAGGCGACGAUCCGUAACUGGUCUGAGAGGAUGAUCAGUCACACUGGAACUGAGACACGGUCCAGACUCCUACGGGAGGCAGCAGUGGGGAAUAUUCGACAAAGGGCGAAAGCCUGAUCCAGCAACGCCGCGUGUGUGAAGAAGGUCUUCGGAUUGUAAAGCACUUUAAGUUGGGAGGAAGGGCAGUAAGAUAAUCUCUUGCUGUUUUGACGUUACCAACAGAAUAAGCAACGGCUAACUUCGUG
rnacentral:rRNA from 1 species